rnacentral:tmRNA from 1 species
GGGGAUGUUUUAGAUUCGCCCGUCAAAUUUGAUGGAUUGGUAAGCGUGUCACAGUCGCCCGAGCUGUGUAAAAAACGAGCAAAAAAAUUAAACGCAGAAAAUAACAAUUCUGUAGCCAACUAUCGUUUGGCUCUUGCCGCUUAAGUUUAGCGACACGUCACCCUUGUAUACCUCAUAACAAGCAAGUGGCGUCAUUUAUGAGGUAAAGGGACUUUGAGCGUUGUCCGACUCAACGUCGCCACGUAGGACAUUACUUGCUUUUUGGUCUGUUUGCCGACUCAAAAGCAAGGACGUUAAAAGACAAACUACACACGUAGAAAACCUUUUGGUCUUUUGGCGGUACAGGGGUGCAAGUCCCCUCAUCUCCACCA